AUAACAUUUGAAAUGCAAAUAAAAUAUCUAAUAGAAAAGAUCUAGAUGACAGAAGAGUUUCAAUAAAUUCUUUCAAUUAAGAUAGUAGGUAAUCUUUAAAAGUAAAAUGGAAAGUAAACCAAAACCCAGAAAGACUAUAUAUAACCCAAAAUGUAAUAUUAAAUUUUCAUUAACUUUAAAAGAAAAAGAAGGUAGGGUGCAGAAGCAAGGGAGGGUCUUAGAAAGUACCCAGUGUAGUCCAGGCUGGAAUACCCACCAUGGAAAAGGCAAGACGGCUCUCAUUCAGCCCCAUGACAUGAGAGUUUACAGAUCAACUGUAAAGGGAGAAAAAAGUCACAUUACUAAGAAAGCUAAGACCAUGUUCUAGGAAGAUGAAAAUGGAACUUUUAGAACUUACUGCCCUUCCAGUAUUAGGUGAACAGAUUGAAUAUAUACACAACAACAUGCCACAAACAAUUGUAUUUUCAAGAAUAAAACAGUAUUGAGAAAAUAAGUGUAAUUGUUAUGUCCAGAUAAAGGGAAAAUUAGAAUAAAAUAAUUAACCUAUUGUAUAUAUUAUAAGUGUGAAGUCAUGAUGCCAUUUAAAAUAGACUGGCCAAAUGGUAAAUUUUAAAUAAGCAAAAAAAGAUAUGCACACCUGCCUAGUCUUCCUAAUUGGUAGGGAGGUGGGCACGGAAAUGCUCCAUAGGGAAAGUUUGAGUAAUAAAGCUGGUAACUAUAAAGAACAAAGAGUUCAGACAUAUUAAUUGUAUCAAUGAACAAUCGAAAAGAAAAUUCCACAUGGCUUUAUCUGCGAAGCCCAGUUCUGUGCAGUAUUUGAGACACGUGUAGAGCCCAGUGGUGUGAAAGGUGCAGACACCACAGCCAGAUGGGAAGAAUUGGGGGUCAGCCUCAAGAGCAGAGGUAAAACCCAAGCCCCACCCUCCCCAAUAAGGAUAGAGUGCACCUACAGCACGAUAAGUCCUAGCUCAUGAGGUUCUGUGUUCACCGUGUACACCUAAUACAGCGAGACUCAGUGCCAGCAUCACUGAGAGCCUAGCAAAUACGAGAGCAUCCCAAGAAGCACAAGGAAGGAGCCAGGGUAGUGGAAGCCAGCACUCAAGGCAAAGGCCAACGGAUCCUUCAGGGUCAAGGCCUGGGCUAGCCUGGGCUACACAGUGAGAUUUCACCUCGAAAAACAAAAUGAGCGUCAGAAACUUUUUACUUAGGAAUCAGCUCAGCUCAGUGUUAGGGUUGCUCACAUGCACUGUUUGUGCCUCCCCCUCCCCCUUUUAAGAGAAAAGGUAUCUGUAGUUCACAUUGAUAUUCCUCAUUGAAAUCUAUAAUUACAGAGGUUUCUUUUUAUAUUUUAAUCUCUUUUGUGUUAACAUUCUAAAUUCUAAUUGUCAGGUCCAAGGGAAACCCCCAGUUCCCCAAACUUCAAAAGACAGUCCAAAUUAUCAAGAAAUGAACUCAACCUAGACUAUGGAAGGCUUUCUUGUAGUUAGAUAAAAGCCAGCAGUUCUCAGGAAUUUGUGGAACGGAUUCCCUUCUGCCAAAAGGAGCCAUUUCCCAUACCCCUGGCAGAAGAGACAGUUGACUCUCUGAUUAACAUACGCCUGUGGCCCUAUCAACGUAUCAGGCGUCUCAGCAUAUCAAGGUCCUUGUAACUACAUGUGUAGUGCCUAUCAGCAUGUCGAGGUUCUUGCUAGCUUCCAGGUGCCUCUGGCUGUUGUCUAUGAACAUGUUUUUUCUUUUAUGAACAGUAAGACAUGGAGUGUUCAUGUCAUCAGUUUAUAUACUAAUGAUAUCCACAAAAUUAAUGUAUUCAUCAAAGCCUACAGCUUCAAAUGACUAACAAUGUGACUAUUGCUGAAAGCUUAAGGCAUGUUUCUAUGUGUGUUUGUGUGUGCGUGCAUGUGUGUGUGCAUGUGUGUAUCUUCUCAUUCAUUUAUUUCUAUUUGCUUCUACUUUUAGGGUAAUGUUAACUUUCAUCCUGACCAGUCUUUGGCUUUGUGGGGGUUGUUUGUUUUGUCUUAACUUUGUGCUGUUAUUGAGAAUUGAACCUGGGACCUGGUGUUGCUCUGCAAGCACCCUGAUACUAUGGUAAAUGCCACCCUAGUUUUGCUUUUUUUUUUUAUAAACCGUUUUUGGAUUCAAGAUGACAUGUUCCAACAUGACCUAUAAAAAGCCCAUCAUUGUGUUCACAGUCUCUAGACACUAUGUCUGGAAUGCUACCCUGAUAAGCUUGAACUACCAACAAAACAUUGCAUUAAAGCCCUUAACCUCCACACCUGGCUUACACAGGACCUCACAUACAUAGACAGUUGCUCAUCUGUCUUCCUAAUGAUAAAGCAAUAUACUAGACAUUCCUUGUCUAGAUAGCUUAAUCUUGAUAACUGGAAAACCCUCCAGCAAGUGUAGUGGGUCACACCUGUCCUCACACUCAAGAGGCAGAGGCCAGGGACUAAGGGCCAGAGUGAGCCUCUGACUGAAACAAGCAGAGAAGGUACAUCUGGCUUGAAGCCUGCUUGCUCUACCUUAAAUGAUUAUGCUCUGUCAUAAAAGCCUGCUUGGGGAAUAGCUAGUGUGCCUCCCUGUGAGAGGCUGAUCUUGUGAUCUCUCUUUCAGAAGCUGAUAAAAUACCAGUAAUGCGUGGACAGUGGUUUAUUGAUGGGACGUGGCAACCUCU
rnacentral:lncRNA from 1 species